rnacentral:rRNA from 1 species
CUACGGGGCGCUCCAGUGAGGAAUAUUGCACAAUGGGGGGAACCCUGAUGCAGCAACGCCGCGUGGAGGAUGACGCAUUUCGGUGUGUAAACUCCUUUUAUAUGUCAAGAAAAUGACGGUAGCAUAUGAAUAAGCACCGGCUAACUCCGUGCCAGCAGCCGCGGUAAUACGGAGGGUGCAAGCGUUACUUGGAAUCACUGGGCGUAAAGGACGCGUAGGCGGGUUGGAAAGUCAGGUGUGAAAUCCUACAGCUUAACUGUAGAACUGCACUUGAAACUUCUAAUCUAGAGUAUGGGAGGGGGAGAUGGAAUUAGUGGUGUAGGGGUAAAAUCCGUAGAUAUCACUAGGAAUACCUAAAGCGAAGGCGAUCUCCUGGAACAUUACUGACGCUAAGGCGUGAAAGCGUGGGGAGCAAGCAGGAUUAGAUACCCGAGAGUC